AGACCCGAAACCCGGUGAUCUAGCCAUGGGCAGGUUGAAGGUUGGGUAACACUAACUGGAGGACCGAACCGACUAAUGUUGAAAAAUUAGCGGAUGACCUGUGGCUGGGGGUGAAAGGCCAAUCAAACCGGGAGAUAGCUGGUUCUCCCCGAAAGCUAUUUAGGUAGCGCCUCGUGAAUUCAUCUCCGGGGGUAGAGCACUGUUUCGGCUAGGGGGCCAUCCCGGCUUACCAACCCGAUGCAAACUGCGAAUACCGGAGAAUGUUAUCACGGGAGACACACGGCGGGUGCUAACGUCCGUCGUGAAGAGGGAAACAACCCAGACCGCCAGCUAAGGUCCCAAAGUCAUGGUUAAGUGGGAAACGAUGUGGGAAGGCCCAGACAGCCAGGAUGUUGGCUUAGAAGCAGCCAUCAUUUAAAGAAAGCGUAAUAGCUCACUGGUCGAGUCGGCCUGCGCGGAAGAUGUAACGGGGCUAAACCAUGCACCGAAGCUGCGGCAGCGAACGUAUCACUUAAAGCGAUUCAGCGGAUGACGAUUGACGGAGCGAAGCGACGUCAAAGCGUAUACAAAGUCGAGUCGGUUUAAGGAUACGUUCGUUGGGUAGGGGAGCGUUCUGUAAGCCUGUGAAGGUGGCCUGUGAGGGUUGCUGGAGGUAUCAGAAGUGCGAAUGCUGACAUAAGUAACGAUAAAGCGGGUGAAAAGCCCGCUCGCCGGAAGACCAAGGGUUCCUGUCCAACGUUAAUCGGGGCAGGGUGAGUCGACCCCUAAGGCGAGGCCGAAAGGCGUAGUCGAUGGGAAACGGGUUAAUAUUCCCGUACUUGGUGUUACUGCGAAGGGGGGACGGAGAAGGCUAUGUUGGCCGGGCGACGGUUGUCCCGGUUUAAGCGUGUAGGUGUGUGUUCCAGGUAAAUCCGGUUCACUUUAACACUGAGGCGUGAUGACGAGGCACUACGGUGCUGAAGCAACAAAUGCCCUGCUUCCAGGAAAAGCCUCUAAGCAUCAGGUAACAUCAAAUCGUACCCCAAACCGACACAGGUGGUCAGGUAGAGAAUACCAAGGCGCUUGAGAGAACUCGGGUGAAGGAACUAGGCAAAAUGGUGCCGUAACUUCGGGAGAAGGCACGCUGACAUGUAGGUGAAGUGAUUUACUCAUGGAGCUGAAGUCAGUCGAAGAUACCAGCUGGCUGCAACUGUUUAUUAAAAACACAGCACUGUGCAAACACGAAAGUGGACGUAUACGGUGUGACGCCUGCCCGGUGCCGGAAGGUUAAUUGAUGGGGUCAGCGCAAGCGAAGCUCCUGAUCGAAGCCCCGGUAAACGGCGGCCGUAACUAUAACGGUCCUAAGGUAGCGAAAUUCCUUGUCGGGUAAGUUCCGACCUGCACGAAUGGCGUAAUGAUGGCCAGGCUGUCUCCACCCGAGACUCAGUGAAAUUGAACUCGCUGUGAAGAUGCAGUGUACCCGCGGCAAGACGGAAAGACCCCGUGAACCUUUACUAUAGCUUGACACUGAACAUUGAGCCUUGAUGUGUAGGAUAGGUGGGAGGCUUUGAAGUGUGGACGCCAGUCUGCAUGGAGCCGACCUUGAAAUACCACCCUUUAAUGUUUGAUGUUCUAACGUGGACCCGUAAUCCGGGUUGCGGACAGUGUCUGGUGGGUAGUUUGACUGGGGCGGUCUCCUCCUAAAGAGUAACGGAGGAGCACGAAGGUUGGCUAAUCCUGGUCGGACAUCAGGAGGUUAGUGCAAUGGCAUAAGCCAGCUUGACUGCGAGCGUGACGGCGCGAGCAGGUGCGAAAGCAGGUCAUAGUGAUCCGGUGGUUCUGAAUGGAAGGGCCAUCGCUCAACGGAUAAAAGGUACUCCGGGGAUAACAGGCUGAUACCGCCCAAGAGUUCAUAUCGACGGCGGUGUUUGGCACCUCGAUGUCGGCUCAUCACAUCCUGGGGCUGAAGUAGGUCCCAAGGGUAUGGCUGUUCGCCAUUUAAAGUGGUACGCGAGCUGGGUUUAGAACGUCGUGAGACAGUUCGGUCCCUAUCUGCCGUGGGCGCUGGAGAACUGAGGGGGGCUGCUCCUAGUACGAGAGGACCGGAGUGGACGCAUCACUGGUGUUCGGGUUGUCAUGCCAAUGGCACUGCCCGGUAGCUAAAUGCGGAAGAGAUAAGUGCUGAAAGCAUCUAAGCACGAAACUUGCCCCGAGA
rnacentral:rRNA from 1 species